GGGCCUGUAGUUUAGUGGCAGAACACCUCUUUUGCAAAGAGGAGAUCGUGGGUUCGAUUCCCACCAGGUCCA
rfam:Parcubacteria bacterium GW2011_GWA2_47_9 TY15_C0019, whole genome shotgun sequence.